CCUACGGGUGGCAGCAGUGGGGAAUAUUGCACAAUGGGCGCAAGCCUGAUGCAGCCAUGCCGCGUGUAUGAAGAAGGCCUUCGGGUUGUAAAGUACUUUCAGCGGGGAGGAAGGCGGUGAGGUUAAUAACCUCACCGAUUACGUUACCCGCAGAAGAAGCACCGGCUAACUCCGUGCCAGCAGCCGCGGUAAUACGGAGGGUGCAAGCGUUAAUCGGAAUUACUGGGCGUAAAGCGCACGCAGGCGGUCUGUCAAGUCGGAUGUGAAAUCCCCGGGCUCAACCUGGGAACUGCAUUCGAAGCUGGCAGGCUAGAGUCUUGUAGAGGGGGGUAGAAUUCCAGGUGUAGCGGUGAAAUGCGUAGAGAUCUGGAGGAAUACCGGUGGCGAAGGCGGCCCCCUGGACAAAGACUGACGCUCAGGUGCGAAAGCGUGGGGAGCAAACAGGAUUAGAUACCCGAGUAGUC
rnacentral:rRNA from 1 species